GUGAAGCUGGGAUGUGUCCUCUUUCCUCUUAACCCCCUAGCUCUGGACCUGGUAAAUACAGCAAACGGGGAGUGAGUUUCUCAAAUGCCUGGCUGUGUCUGCCCUGUGGCUGCCCCGAGAUGGGGUGGUGGAAUAGCAAGAGGAGCCUUGCCAGCCUGCAGGACUCAGGUGCUGCUAAGCCCUCCAGUUACCACGACUACAGCGCUUUCCAGCAGGUUUCUAUAAGACAAGGAUGUUUUGGACAUGUUCAAGCCCCCAGAACUGGCUGCACCCCGUGUGCCUUUCUCUCAGUGCAGCAACUUAUGGGCUAAUAAUGGCCCCUGCCAGAGCAUAUUGUGCUGGGCGGUCACGGGUGGCAGAAACUACUGGCCUCUCUUUUGACAACCCACAGGAAACAUUUGCACCUCCAGCACUUUCCGCUCAAAGUGCUCCAUGGUAGCAACACCUGUGUGUGGUGCAGAAGCUGUGGCUACACUGCUUUAUAACUCGUCUUUCUAUCUGACCUCUGGAGUCCAGUGAAAGACCAAAACUUUACUGCUGUCUAUGUUCGCAUGUAGUAAUGGUGGGAGAACUAAAUAACACUGAAAAUUCUGGAAAUGAGGAGAAACAGACUAAAGCCACGGGCGGAUGAAUGAAGAGAGAGAAGAGUGCUUUAGGGUCUCAAUUUGCCACCCAGGCUGGAGUGCAGUGGCACAAUCUCGGCUCACUGCAACCUCCGUCUCCCAGGUUCAAGUGAUUCUCGCGCCUCAACCUCACGAGUAGCUGGAAUUACAGAACGCCUCCGUCACCGCCUGUUGCACUGUCCUGAUGCUUGUGCUCCACUACAAGAGGCAGAUGGAACAAAUCUGGGAUGGCUGGCUCACUAUUAGUGUGGAGCUGUCCUGGAGAUGGAGAUGUCAACGGAGGAUGAUUCUGAGACAACUGGCCCCUUGCAGUGCAGAUAAACUCCAUUACGGGGCCUUCUAGUCAUGGUAGCAUAAUCCUGGAUUGUGAUUAAUGACAAUUUUGUAACAAAAUAUUGCCAUCAGAACUUUCCAGUUUAUGAAUACGAGAUACUGACCCAGACAUGAAAUGAAAUUAUUCCUUACAACAGAAGUCAACCAGAGAACAUUCUAUUAAAACUGGCUCCGACUUACGUACUGAAAUGAGUCACACUGUGAAAGCUCCAGAAAG